UCCAGGUCGCCUCAGAAGAGACAGAUUUGCUUUAAAGCCCUACAAAAAAAAAGAGAGACCAGUUCAAUGACACGUUGCUUUUAUACCAGUCACAAGCCUUCAAUCAAAGACGCUCAAAUAGAUGCCACCCUCUUCAUCACGGUACAUGCUCCGCUUCGCACAAAGCAAUACUAACGAGCCCACGGGGUUACAGGAAAUCUGUUCCUUGCUGAUUGGUCCGUUUGACCUCCGAAUACCCGACGGUAUGAUCCGUUAUACUCUUGUGUGCUGAUUGGACGAUUUGACUGGCAGGCGGGUCGGUUAUUAGCAAAUAUGUAUAACAAUUGGAUGGCAGCGGAGUCACUCAUGCUCCUAAGCUACCGGCUCUGCAGGAAAGACGAUGAGUUUGUCAACUGCCACAAAUGUAACCAAUGGCUCCGCUAUCAGCCAUGCAGCCUCAGCCACGUGGCAUGAUACGUCAAUCAACUUAAUUCCAGCAGGAUGGAACCCAAAACGAUGUUUUAAAAUGGACGCUCUCCUGAAAUGCUGACCUACAGUGCAGAAUGGUCCAGUGGCUGCAUCCACAACACUGACUGAAGUCAAGGGAAGCUGUGGAUGCUCAUAACCUCUGAAAAUCAAGCCACAAGAGACUAGAGUGGAUCAACGGGGACACCCAGCUAUGAAGAACUUGGAAGGGGAAAGUGAGAGCAGCAUGGACUGAGGCUUGCAGAAGGGAAAUGAGCUGGAAGCCAAGCAAAAAUAGCAUACCCUGUGAAGAUCCCUUUGAUGAAUGUGAUUUCUCAACGAUGGCGGACAUGGCAUGAUGCUGUGGAUACAAAAGAAACCCUCUGAAGAAGAAAGCUGUCCCCAAACUGAGAAUACGAGCAACUGCAGGGCUGGCAGCAGGAAUUAGAAGUCUGAGCUCCAGUAGGAGGCAUUUUUGUGUGGUAAGGAUGUAUGUUCAUUGUGACAAGCCACACGACAAAAACGGUUUAGGAAUGAUUCCUAUUGCAGGCGAGACUCCAAUGUAACAUUUCAAUAUUGCACUUCCUAACCACCCAUGAAUGCAGAGAUGGAUCCAGUGCUUGCUGAUGAGAAUGCUAGUCGAGGUGUUUCCAAACUUCCCAGGGCAGAUGUCGGGAAUAUAAAGAGCACUGCAGUGCGAGGACAAGCAACAUGUCCAUCACCACAUAAUCUAAGUCCUGAAGUGGAGUGUUUAUUUUCACACAGAAAAGUCACAGUUACGUGGAGUUUCUCUAUAACAGGAGAGAGCCUACCUGGUUAUUGCUCCCGCCUUCUCAGCCCAGGAACAGUG